rnacentral:rRNA from 1 species
UCCCGCAAGGGACUAGUAGAGUGGCAAACGGGUGAGUAACACGUGGGUGACCUGCCUUCGAGUGGGGGAUAACGUCCCGAAAGGGACGCUAAUACCGCAUGACAUCCUGCCCUUGAAUGGGUGGAGAUCAAAGCUGGGGAUCGCAAGACCUAGCGCUUGAAGAGGGGCCCGCGUCCGAUUAGCUAGUUGGUGAGGUAACGGCUCACCAAGGCAACGAUCGGUAGCCGGCCUGAGAGGGCGGACGGCCACACUGGGACUGAGACACGGCCCAGACUCCUACGGGAGGCAGCAGUGGGGAAUUGUUCACAAUGGGCGCAAGCCUGAUGACGCAACGCCGCGUGGAGGAUGAAGAUCUUCGGGUCGUAAACUCCUUUCGAUCGAGACGAAUGGCUUCCGGGCUAAUCACCGGGAGAAUGACGGUACCGAGAGAAGAAGCCCCGGCUAACUCCGUGCCAGCAGCCGCGGUAAUACGGGGGGGGCAAGCGUUGUUCGGAAUUACUGGGCGUAAAGGGCUCGUAGGCGGCCAACUAAGUCAGACGUGAAAUCCCUCGGCUUAACCGGGGAACUGCGUCUGAUACUGGAUGGCUUGAGGUUGGGAGAGGGAUGCGGAAUUCCAGGUGUAGCGGUGAAAUGCGUAGAUAUCUGGAGGAACACCGGUGGCGAAGGCGGCAUCCUGGACCAAUUCUGACGCUGAGGAGCGAAAGCCAGGGGAGCAAACGGGAUUAGAUACCCCGGUAGUCCUGGCCCUAAACGAUGAAUGCUUGGUGUGGCGGGUAUCGAUCCCUGCCGUGCCGAAGCUAACGCAUUAAGCA